UUGGAAUGAGAUUUUAUAGGACCUCUUGCUUCCAUACAGCUUAGAGAGGUAGGAUGGGCGUCUUCCCAGCAGUGUCUUUUUCUCAAUACCUUCACAACUUUGCAGUAUAAAAACAAAGUUCAGGUUAAUGAGUACAGCCCAGUUGCAAUGCCUAAGCAUCAAUGAGCCUCUCCAGGGCUGCUGGAUAAAGACAAAAUUACUCUGACACUUAUCGUCAGAUAUUCUAAGAGUACGGAGGCAUUUGGAGUCUAUUUUGAGCAAUUUAAUGAAUGAAAGACUACACUCCACUUCUAUUUUUUUCUAGCAGUUUUAUGUUUCCGGUUUUAUUUUCAAUUUUCCCCCUAACUAAACUUUCUGUAUAUCUGUGUUCACUUUUCCUCUUUCAGCUAGUUAUACGCCUUAGAAGAUCAAUUUUGGGAAAAGGUAGCAGAAUUUUUUUCCUGUCCCAUAAAACGUCUUUAUUAUAUACGAGAAUCAGCUUCUUUGUGACCUCCUCAGAAGUAUAGACACAAUAUGGGCGGUGCUGCUUUCCCCAAAGUCUGAGUCAUAGCUUUGCAAGACUUCUUCUCAAAGCUCCAAGGUAUCAGUACCAACUGGUUGGCAUCCACGCCUUAGAAACCUCAGCCUUUCACAGAUGAUGGAAAACCUUUAGAAAGGUGCAUUCUAGAGUCCAUAAUGACAUCACAACAUCAUAUUACAUGAGUUAAGCUAUCGGUGUCAUCUGGGAAUGGGUAUCUCUCAAGGCAAGGGAGAAGAGAAUGAUCUCCUUAAUAUCGAAGAAGGCAAUCUUAUCAGUGAUGUGAAGAACGGAUGGUUGGAAUAUGGACGAUUGGAUCCAAAUUAAAGUGGCUGAACACACCAGAAAAUUCUGGUAUACUGAUAUGAUUGCCAUAGAAGAGAAGAAAAAAAGAGGAAAAAUUAAAGAAACAAAGUUCUGAGAAGAGUCAAGGGGAUGGGGCUUCAAAGAAGAUAUGAAAUAUUGGCCUUUUUCCUUUGGUAAAAGGAAAGACAUUUCUGUCAUUAACAGCAAUGAAAGAAAAGGUGGGCUAAUCUAAGUAAGAUUGCAGGUUUGUUGAGGACAAGAUUCAGACAGUGAAAAUAUUAAGUGAGCUUAGAAAAAGGAUAUGGGAAUGAAUGAAUGGACUGUUUCCAAUUGAUAUUACAAAAGUGUUAUGGCUAUUGAUAAAGAAUCAAUGAAAAAAUAUGAAUAACAGGAUGGUCAGGCAAAAAUGAGAGUUUAACUGAGUUUGAAGAUAAGCACAGGUCAAUAGUACCUAGGCUCAUUCAUCAUUGUUUUGUGACAUCCUCCAGAAAGCCCAUAAUAAUAAGAUCAAAUAAAUUUCCAUAACUGGAAUUAUAAAAGACUAUUAGAUUGACAAAAUAAUAGUAAAGUUUAUAUUGAAUGACUGGUUGUAAAACAAUGACUUGAAAAAGAGAGAGGUGAUGCCAGAUUCAGGAGAUGCAGAGGAAUAUGGUAGGACUUGGACAACUAAAGAUCUCCAUUUUGGUAGAAAUAAAGAUAUGACUCAGUAGAAAUUUACAUAAAACAUUAGGAGGCACAGUCAAAGAGUGAGAUUUCAGAGUAGGUUAUCCAAAGAAAGUUUUCAACUGAUAAUUAAAUCUAUACUAUUAGUGCUUAUGUGAGUGACUCAGCUGGCUAAUAUGAAAGUCAGUGUUUUGAAGAAGUUGAAGAUAAUUAGGGCAGAGUGAGAGGAAUACCAAAAUAGACAAAAAGAAACCACAUAUACUGUAAUUUUGGGCAGCAAAAAGGAUUUUUUCAUGUCACUUUUAGUACUAACUGGGUGACAAAAGUUAAAUAACUCAUUUAUUUUCCUAAACUUUUGAUUAAUUUCCUUAUUGGAGGCUACCACAAAGAAAAUUGUAACUUUUAGAAUUCGAGGUAAAGGUCAAUCAUACAUUAAAUGUCAGUCCUGAGAAAAGAAAUUGAGUCUUGACAGUAGAAUAGAUUCAAAGAGAACCACCAACUUUGCCCCCUGCUAAUGCAGCUUAGCUAUAGAUGCCCCCUGAAAAUAAUUUUUGGCUACAGUAAUUAUAUAAAAUAAGCAAACAGAAAUAGAUCUUUGCUCCAGGAAAUUUUCAAUGCUGCCCUGAGAUUGAGUAGGAAAAUGUGUGUGUGUGUGUGUGUGUGUAUGUGUGAAUGAACAUGAUCAGAUACUUUUGGAAUGACUUUGGAUAUUAGUACGUACACUAUAGGCAAGAAAUUCUGAAUAAUUCAGUGAUAUAAGACAACUUCUGUGUCUUUUAAAAAUUAUAGUCUAAAGAAAGAUGUCAGAGAGAUGAACAUUUGCUUUGAACAAAUGUAACAUUUACAGAAUCCUUUAUACAAAGAAUUAAACAGAAGUUCAUUAUUUGUUUUGUAAAAUAGUUAUUAUAAUAUCCUUUUAAAUGUCGUCUCUUCAUUGAGUUUUAAUAAUUGGAUAACUUUUGUAGAGCUCAAAUAUUUUGUACAUCAGGAUUGAAAUGCAUGCUAACAAAAUGAACCUAAAGAAGAAAAUUGAAUAAAAUAUGGUUCUUUCAAAUAAGCAAACAAAAUUUAGUAAUCUGAAAAGCAGAAAUAUUGAGGAAAGAGAAUGCAAUAUGCACUAAAAAUAUAUACCAUUAUAUAUUGUAUAUAUAAAAUAAAUAGAAUGGAGAUGGUUAAUGGUUACAAAAAUAUACUUAGAAUAAAUAAGAUCUAGUAUUUGAUAGCACAGCAGGGUAACUACAGUCAACAGUAAUUUACUGUACAUUUUAAAAAGCUAAAAGAAUAUAAUUGGAUUACUUGCAACACAAAAAAAGUGUAAAUGCUUGAGUUGAUGGAUACUCCAUUUUUCCUGAUGUGAUUAUUAUUCAUUGCAUGCCUGUAUCAAAAUAUCUCAAAUACUCCAUAAUCAUUUAUACCUACUAUAUACUUGUACAAAUGAAAAAUUAAAAAAUAAGAAGUGUUCAUUUAAAACAUAAUGGUUAAAUUUGUGUGUCAACUGAGUAGGUUAAGGAAUUUCAAAUAGGUGGUAAAACAGUUUUGGGUAUGUUUGUGAGGAUGUUUUAGCAAAAGACUGGCAUUUGAAUCAGUAGAUUGGGUAAAGAAGAUCUAUUCAUCUGUUGAAGGCCUGAGUAGAGCAAAAAGGUGGAGAAAGGACAAAUUUUCAUCUCUUUUCUGAAGCUGAAACAUGCAUCUUCUCCUGCCUGUGGACACUGAAGCUCCUGGUUCGAGUCCGGGACUCAAACCAGCGUGUCCCCCAAACACCCACAACCUGCAGGGCCCUCAGCCUUGGACCAAGACUUACACUAUUUGCUCCCCUGGUUCUCAGGUUCUCAGAUUUGGACUGAAUUACACUACUGGCUUUCCUGGUUCUCCGGCUCACAGACAGCAUCUGAUGGAACUUCUCAGCCUCCAUAAUCUCAUGAGCCAAUUCCCAUAAUAAAU